rnacentral:lncRNA from 1 species
CUUCCUGUUUCCUGUUGAUACAAGGUCUUCCUAUGUAGCCCAGGCUACAUAUAUAGGAAUUUUAGCUGUGAGCCACAAUGUCUGACUUUCAUUUUCAGUCUAGACCGCCUGGAACCAACCGAUCCAACCUGGUUCUUUCUCACCAGUGCGUGUCCUGGCUUCGUUGGCUGUUCUUCAGGCAUAACAGCCCAGCAAGCUAUGGAAUGCAACCAUACAUCAAUCAUCAGACAAGAAAAUGCCCUACAGACUUGCCUACCGGCCAAUCUCACAGGUAUCUUCUCAAUUGAGACGUCUCCUUCCUAUAUAACCCUAACUUGUGUCAAACUGACAAAAAGAAGCAAACAAAAACCAAACCAGUACAAAG